AGAUUGAACGCUGGCGGCAUGCCUUACACAUGCAAGUCGAACGGCAGCACGGGAGCAAUCCUGGUGGCGAGUGGCGAACGGGUGAGUAAUAUAUCGGAACGUGCCCAGUCGUGGGGGAUAACGCAGUGAAAGCUGUGCUAAUACCGCAUACGAUCUAUGGAUGAAAGCGGGGGACUCGCAAGAGCCUCGCGCGAUUGGGAGCGGCCGAUAUCAGAUUAGCUAGUUGGUGGGGUAAAAGCCCACCGAAGGCGACGAUCUGUAGCUGGUCUGAGAGACGACCAGCCACACUGGAACUGACGACACGGUCCAGACUCCUACGGGAGCAGCAGUGGGGGUAACUUUUGGACAAGUGGGCGCAAGCCUGAUCCAGGUCAAGUCG
rnacentral:rRNA from 1 species